rnacentral:rRNA from 1 species
GUGUCAGCCGCCGCGGUAAUACGUAGGGUGCAAGCGUUGUCCGGAAUUAUUGGGCGUAGAGAGCUCGUAGGCGGUUUGUCGCGUCUGCUGUGAAAAUCCAAGGCUCAAUCUUGGACCUGCAGUGGGUACGGGCAAGCUAGAGUGCGGUAGGGGAGAUGGGAAUUCCUGGUGUAGCGGUGGAAUGCGCAGAUAUCAGGAGGAACACCAAUGGCGAAGGCACAUCUCUGGGCCGUAACUGACGCUGAGGAGCGAAAGCGUGGGGAGCGAACAGGAUUAGAAACCCGAGUAGUCC